UGUGUCAUAAAGGGACUCUGUGUGUACCUGAACGAAGACACAGAGAAUCUGUUAAGACAGUUUGUGAUGGGGGAAAAACGCCGCUUAUCAACUAAUCGAUGAUCGAUCGAUAAGGCAGCUGAUGAAUCCCUCCUCCAGGAAUCCAUUGAAGAAACCACCAUGGG